ACCCACUGAAAAAAAAAUAUAAAGCUUUUUCCUUCUCAUUAUGUUUGGUGGGGUGGGGGGUGGCAGACUUGGUAUAACUGACUUUUGUUGUUCUUGAUGCAUUCUUCCUCUUUUUAAAAUCGGCCCCUUUUUUCAGUUUGUGUGUAGCCAUAAACGGCUUUUCUUGUUCCAGGGCCGGCGAGCGAAGAGAAGCGUUUAGCGAGGGGGUUUGGGCACAGGCGAGCGGAGACAGGGUUGCGCUUCUUCGGGAAACAAACGGACUGCGAGCGCCGGAGGUACAGAGAACCGGGAAAGAGCGCCUGUUCCGCGGCGCCUGGAAAGCACCCGAGGGCGGCGGAUGCGAUUUGCUUUUUUUUCUUCUUACGGAUGGAGUAUCUUUGCUCUGCCAAUCAAUCCCUUGACGAGACUACACCCAGAAUGAAACGACUGUGAGAGGCACCGCGGCGCUUAAAAGUUUUUGCCUGUAUAUCUCCGCUUUGAUGCUGGUGAUAAAACGUCCAAAAUGUCGAGGACACACCGCCAGGACAAGAGGAGGAACUAUAACUACAGGAUGUCUUGACCCGAGGGAAGUCGCGGUGUUGCUCUGUUCGACCUCUUGCAUGAUGCUGCACCAGACAGUCCACCAACAACAGGUGUCGGACUGCGGCCGAAGUGCUCCAGGUGGCCUGUGAAAUCGAUUUUAACCCCAUGACUCUGUGGAGCAGAGGCUGAGUCGCCAACCCGGGUGACGAUUUAGCUGGCCCUGACAGAUUUACAGAUUCCAGAGAAAGAGGGAGAGAGAAGAUAAGCACAGAGGAGAAAGCAGGAUGGAGAAACACUGGACCUAGAACCUAGAAAUGAAAACAUUGAAAACCAUGAAAACAUUCCUCGAAGACAACUGAUGAAAAAGGCGACGGAGACGCCGUGUUCCUCUCGAAGCCCGAGGUUGUGCUGUGGCUGCGCCUUCUCCGCCCCUCUCCGCCCAGGACUUCCUCCUCCACCCCAGGAUGAGGGCGACGGCUUCUCUUCUCCCUGACAGCAAGCAUGGGUCAGCAGCGUGCCACUUCCUGGAUUCAAACAGUUCAAAUUGUUUCCUUUAAUGUGUUCUCACUUUUGUAUAUGAAUAUUUUUACUGUCAUUUGUUGUGUAAUUCAUGAAGAACUGCUGUCUAGACCAUCAAGUCAUAACUGAUCCGAGUGUGUGAUAAAGCAAAUGUAGUCUUGUUUGGUGUAAAGUAAAAUAGCACAUAAAUGCCCAUACUCGGUUUUCCGGUUCCUUGCAGCAUGAUUGCUGUUGACACAGCGGGUUCAGAGAGUAAAACUCCACCACAGGAUUUUGUUCCAACCACCUGGCUUUGUCAUUAGCUCAAGCCAGUAGUUAGAAACAUGGGCCAAGCGAUACCAAACCAUGGCAGGACUUUUAGUUUUUGAACCUGAGGCCGUCACACCUCUGAGGUUUAGCGCCUUGUUUUGACUGAUUUAUUUGUUUAUUUAUUUAUGUCUUUACGGGGAUCUUUGCAAUGUUUGCUGUGAGAUACAAACAUGCACACAAUAACACUCUUUAAUAACCCGCUUAAAUUUCAACUUGAAUCAAAGCACCUUGUUUCUUCAGAGCAUUUGAGUAAACCCAGUUUAAGUAAGUGUGGGUUUCAUUUGGAGACUCAGAUCAAGUUAAAUGGUCAGUUAAUUAUCUUCAGAGGACAUAUUUGAACUGUUCUUUAGAUAGUCCCCAGAUAUGCAUUUAUCCUAGACAGGGGUUCAUGUUACAGGAAGCUGCAAUUUUAUAGUACUUAAACUACUUAAAUUAGGUGAGUUGCAUGUUUUCAGUUCACAUAAACUGAUUAUGCGCUACAGUUAGCCUCUGAUUGGCUCAGGCAUUCCUGACUCAUUUACAUAAGAGAAAAGGUGCUUUCGUGUACUUAAUGUUGGGACAUACUCUAACUGAAAGGACUUUAGAGCUUGAAAGUACUUUGGAAUAUUUAUUGAUGGAGAAAUUAACCAUAUCACUUAUGAACUACAAAGCAUAUAUUACAAUAAAAUGUUUACCUUCAGAAACUUAAAUUGUAAAAUAUAUUCAGUUUGGUCAAUUUGUUUUGUUUGUGCACAUGUAAAGUAAUAUACAGAUUUGCAAUUGCAGUUUAAACCAAGGCUUAAAGUAAAACAAUCAUACAGUCAUUAACUGUGGUAUGUACUGUCCUGGUGUUAAACUGACUACAUUUAUUAAUUAAACUCUAUAAAGUUUCUGUUUCAAAUAAAUAAAUGCAAAAGGCAAAAUUACAGAUUUAGAUUAGAAAUGAAAUAACUGGCAGAAAUAAUGUUCAUAGACAAAACACUUUCUCAUAAUUAAUACAAUUAUAAAAUAAUAAACAUCUAGAGCUUUUGGAACCAA